AGCGAACGCUGGCGGCAGGCCUAACACAUGCAAGUCGAACGAACCUUUCGGGGUUAGUGGCGGACGGGUGAGUAACACGUGGGAACGUGCCUUUAGGUUCGGAAUAACUCAGGGAAACUUGUGCUAAUACCGAAUGUGCCCUUCGGGGGAAAGAUUUAUCGUCUUUAGAGCGGCCCGCGUCUGAUUAGCUAGUUGGUUGAGGUAAUGGCUCACCAAGGCGACGAUCAGUAGCUGGUCUGAGAGGAUGAUCAGCCACAUUGGGACUGAGACACGGCCCAAACUCCUACGGGAGGCAGCAGUGGGGAAUCUUGCGCAAUGGGCGAAAGCCUGACGCAGCCAUGCCGCGUGAAUGAUGAAGGUCUUAGGAUUGUAAAAUUCUUUCACCGGGGACGAUAAUGACGGUACCCGGAGAAGAAGCCCCGGCUAACUUCGUG
rnacentral:rRNA from 1 species